rnacentral:rRNA from 1 species
CGAGCCCAACCUCCCACCCGUGUUUACUGUACCUUAGUUGCUUCGGCGGGCCCGCCAUUCAUGGCCGCCGGGGGCUCUCAGCCCCGGGCCCGCGCCCGCCGGAGACACCACGAACUCUGUCUGAUCUAGUGAAGUCUGAGUUGAUUGUAUCGCAAUCAGUUAAAACUUUCAACAAUGGAUCUCUUGGUUCCGGCAUCGAUGAAGAACGCAGCGAAAUGCGAUAACUAGUGUGAAUUGCAGAAUUCCGUGAAUCAUCGAGUCUUUGAACGCACAUUGCGCCCCCUGGUAUUCCGGGGGGCAUGCCUGUCCGAGCGUCAUUGCUGCCCAUCAAGCACGGCUUGUGUGUUGGGUCGUCGUCCCCUCUCCGGGGGGGACGGGCCCCAAAGGCAGCGGCGGCACCGCGUCCGAUCCUCGAGCGUAUGGGGCUUUGUCACCCGCUCUGUAGGCCCGGCCGGCGCUUGCCGAACGCAAAUCAAUCUUUUUCCAGGUUGACCUCGGAUCAGGUAGGGAUACCCGCUGAACUUAAGCAUAUCAAUAAGCGGAGGAAAGAUCAUUACCGAGUGUAGGGUUCCUAGCGAGCCCAACUCCACCGUGUU